rnacentral:rRNA from 1 species
AUUGAACGCUGGCGGAAUGCUUUACACAUGCAAGUCGAACGGCAGCGACGGGGGCAACCCUGGUGGCGAGUGGCGAACGGGUGAGUAAUACAUCGGAACGUGCCCAGUCGUGGGGGAUAACGUAGCGAAAGCUACGCUAAUACCGCAUACGAACUCUGGUUGAAAGGCGGGGAUCGCAAGACCUCGCGCGAUUGGAGCGGCCGAUGGCAGAUUAGGUAGUUGGUGGGGAAAGGCCUACCAAGCCGACGAUCUGUAGCUGGUCUGAGAGGACGACCAGCCACACUGGGACUGAGACACGGCCCAGACUCCUACGGGAGGCAGCAGUGGGGUAAUUUUGGACAAUGGACGCAAGUCUGAUCCAGCCAUUCCGCGUGCAGGAUGAA